UGCCAGCAGCCGCGGUAAUACGGAGGGUGCAAGCGUUAAUCGGAAUUACUGGGCGUAAAGGGCGCGUAGGCGGCGCGGUAAGUCACUUGUGAAAUCUCUGAGCUUAACUCAGAACGGCCAAGUGAUACUGCUGUGCUAGAGUGCGGAAGAGGCAACCGGAAUUCUUGGUGUAGCGGUGAAAUGCGUAGAUAUCAAGAGGAACACCUGAGGCGAAGGCGGGUUGCUGGGCCGACACUGACGCUGAUGCGCGAAAGCCAGGGGAGCAAACGGGAUUAGAUA
rnacentral:rRNA from 1 species